rnacentral:lncRNA from 1 species
CAAAGAGAGCUGACAGGGCCAGUGGAGAGGAGACUUUCUGGCUAUCUUCAAGCUCAGAUAGUAGUCAGUCACUGGACUCUUUAACUAUGAGGUUUCCCUGCUCUUGAUGAUGGAACAGAUUUCAUUAAAGACCGUCUCAAAUCAGAAGAAUGACUAAUCAAAAGUGAGAAGCCAUGAGUGUUUAGAAAACAAAUUCCUAAACAUUGGCUUGUAUUGAAAAGUGAAUAGAUAAACAGUUUUGCAGUGACCUGAAGGCUUGGAUAGAGAGAAUAAAUAAAUUAUUGACACAUGAGGAGUAGACAAUUCUCCAUCCACAGUUGAGCUUUUCAUUCUUUGCGGAGCAGAUGGUCCAAAUAAAGCAGCCAAAAAUAACAGGCAUUUUACCACUCCUAGUCUCAAGAGAUCAAUCCUACCAAGUAGCUAUCUGUGAUGUUACCACAGGCAUAGAACAGAAGACAUCUUUGGACUUCAACUUCGUUGUAAAACUUCAGUUUAAAUAGUUGAGCAAAAGCGUCUUUAAGUUUCAGUCUUCUCACAAAAAUCCACCGUGAACAAAAACGGGAAAAACAAUGACAUUUCCAAAACCUCGAACUGUAAGAAAACCUACCGAAUACCCCAACAUUCAUGCUUAUAUCUCAAAAACUUUCAGCCUGCUAGUUUUCAAAGGAAUAUAAAUACCAUGAUGACACUAGAAUAUAUAAAUGAGAAAAUGAGUGAAUAAAUAAAGAAUGGGUGUGGAAAAGCAGAGCUGUCAUAAGUCAUAGAGGAAACAUAAAAGAAAAGCAAACUUUAAUAAAGUGAAAGUCAUAUUAGAAGUAAUAAUAAAGAACCAGAAAUAAACUGCUGUUGUCUAGAGUUCUCAGUGAUGUGAAAAAAGAAGGAAAUCAU